GAUUUCUUGCCUAGCCUGCUGCGACGCGGAGAACUGAGAUAACCAAGAUCAAAUUUGCAAGUAUGACCUACGAGCAAUGCAGAGCAACCCUUGCUGUGCCCCAUGUUCUACCAGCUCCUUUAGUGCACUUUGCAUGCAGCGAAACUGCCUUGAGAAUGUUGGUAGAGAUUAAGCACCACCUCUUCCAGAGCAAUCUGGUUGGUUUGUAUAUCUGUAGUAGCACAAUCCUUCUGAGACUGCCCAUUUCCCUGCUUCUGCAUCUCCGAAAUAACAGGCUCUGACAUUUCCUCUUUGAGCACGCUCAACCAGAGGCUGCCUGCUGUCUUUGGAAGAGAAUGGUGAUGCCUACAGCUCCAUCAGUUCAUUUACCAGAAAUGCUGCAUCUCAAAGUGAGCCGGUGCCCCUCUCUGCUUGUUGGCUCUGCGUUGGGAAACUGAGUUUCACCCACAGGUUUGUGAAUUCUCUGCCUGGUGAACAAACUGAACAAACAGGUCAAUCUGCCAUCCUCCACCCGCUUCUGUGCACACUGAUAAAUCAAAGCAGAGGAAGGACGUGCUGCUCUGCAUUUCGGUGUUGAGCAGAGCUGUCUUUCAGAUGAGGGGCAGUUGGGCACAUCACCUGGAAAGCUGCAGCUGUGGUGCAAAUGUCAUUUGAUGUGUUCAUAGCAUCACUGCUGUCACUGUAUGUCUGCCGUGUGGUUGCUGGUAAGUCAGCGAGCUCGGUAGCAGAGGAUGCUGUGGGCAGUGCCUGCUUGUGGAGGAACAGCAAACAGUGUCACUGCUGCUGGCAGCUCUGCUCUUUGUGCCUCUCCCACUCUGGGAUGUUUGCUGCAGGGCUGUGCUGCUGCACCCGAUGGGCACUGCAAAGCUGCUCAGCUCUCCUCCCUUCUGGCAGUGCUGUGCCACCGGUUUUAAUUACUAUCUCACCUGGGACUCUGAAAUCCCUCACUACCUCGCUUACCUGUUUGAUGAAAACAAACCCUCUUUUGUUGGUGAAAAUGAUUAUGUUACCUUGAGAAAGCAAUUAAAAGCCCGAGCUCCCCAGAUGUGUUUCUAAAGGACUCUUUGCAAAUCUUUGGGAGAGAAGAGAAAUAAUUCUCCUAAAUCAGGAGGCUGAUCAAUAACACACGUUGCUCUGCAGAAGGCUGUGUUUAUUUUGCCUGCCAGCAAUGAAACUCAAUAGACCCCCACCAGUUGAAGAAGAAGAAAUGAGACCUCUGUGGUUUUGCACUGUGGGUUUCCUGUGUCUGUGUUUUUGGUUUUGCUCGUUUGUUUUUGUCAUGUGAAAUCUAUUGGUAAAUAAUGGGCAAUGAUCAGCACUUUAUUUUCAUUUGGCAUUUAAUCAAAGGGACAGGCUACAUCUUUACAAUAGCUGGGCUAAUUGCUCAACCAAACAGGGCAAACCAUUGUUCAUCCUCGCUGCUGAUGGAAUAAAUAUGAAUAUGGUCGUGUUUGAUCAUAGAGAUUGCAAAGAAAAUGGGGCAAAGAGCCCAAUCCUCAGGUAAGGGGGCACAGAAGCAAAAUUCAGAUGGUGGAGGAAAAUGACUGCAUUGCUGAGGAGGACAGGAGUGCAGCCUUACAGCGUGACCUUUGGUGCUGUCACCUCUUCCCUGACUGCUGCUGUACUUCUGCCUUCAGCUGUGCAGAGGGAAAGGUUGGGUUGUGAUGCAGCAUGGAAUUGUUUACUCUCUGGGGUCAGUAGAAGUGCUAAAGAAGCUCUACAUGAUUAAUUUGUGCUCUUGCAUCAAUGCCUUUCAUGUGUGCAGGAGAACGGGCUGUUUGCAGAUGAAUAAGCAUCUCCUUGGGUUCCAUAGCUAUGGGGCUCUUUCAUUAUCAUGGUCUGGGUGAUAAUGUGAGGCAGUGUUUCUGAAAAAGCAAACUGCCUCUUGACAGGGGGAACGUGGUACAGGAAUACAGCACACCAUGCAGGCAGGUGGGGAAUUCUCUGAGCUCCUUCCCCCCCAGACUCCCACAGCCCUCCUCCUCCUCCCACUCUGUGCUCAGGGUGCUGCAGAGGUGAUGCUGCCAAGAGAAAGGAGAAGUUCCUAACGUGUGUGCUCAGGUAAUCACAAUGAACUAAUGGCAGCAAAUUAAUCAUAGCACAAACAUAAUUUCUUUUCCUGGGCAGGUGUGCAGACAGCUCUGCUCCUGCUGCAGUGUGCUGGGCUGAGCAGCCAGGAUGGCCCUCCCUAGAUGUGUUGCCUGCCUGCAUGGCCGCAGGCUUUGGUCCCUAAAUCCUUCUAAUCUCUUCCUUUUCUGAAGUUCACUAGGCCUUCAAAGCAAGACAUAAAAAGACAAAUCUCCUGGUGGGAAGUCAGCGAUCCCUGCAGAACUGCCUCCAGACCACGCACUUUGCUCUGAUGUUGAGAUGGGUACAGCAUCCCAAGCUUAAAGGCUGUGCAGUUACAUCUGGGACCUUUGGCAAUGGAAGCAGUGAAACCCUUGCAUCCCUCAAGCUGUUAGCUCGGGUGAUUGUUUGCAUAAUCAUGCAGAGCGAUCUCUGUUCCUUCACGAAGCCGUAAGACUGAAACAUAACUGGCACCAUGGAAGGAAGGCAUUGCUACUGCAGGAAGGCAUCAGCCCGGGCUCCAGCACAGCAGAUGGAACCCCCAGAUCUGCAGGAGCUGAGGUGGGGACCCCCAUCAUGCUGUGCUUUAGAAGCUGUCAUUGUCCCUCUCUGAGCCUCACGUUUGAUGCCAUGAAGUGGCUGGAGAUGACUGUAAGUCAGUUUCGUCUUUGCUCGCUGUUGACAGGAGGGGUUUGCAUGCAGUCACAUUGCCCAAAUGCCCAAAUCCUCUCUGCUGAAAUGUGCAGGGGGGGAGGUGAGACAUUUCCCACCUGUUCAGCUAUUUUGCAGCAUGGUGGGAUGUUUCCUAUUUUGAACUGCAGCUGCAGCUUUAGGGAUGAACUUGUAGAGUCAAAUGUAAGGUAAAUGCCAGGGGAAGGCGUUUUUAAGAUGCAGAUCUCUGUUUUAUUACAUAGAGAAGAUUUUCUUCAACAUAAUGAUACUUCUUGGAGUGCACGAUAGAAAACUGCAGCCAUGGACAAGUAGUGCUCUCAGCUCUCCCUCUGAUCAUUAGCCCUGUGUGAUCAUUAACCUUCACAGGGUAAACUGCCUGCUUGCAGUUCGUUGUUGAUAGUUAGCAGAUCUUGCCCUGGAUGAAGAUCUGGAGAUGGGUUCUAUGGAAUUCUGCAAACAUGAAUGUGAUCCUGAGAAGAGAGGAUGAGGAGAAUGUCUGUUGCUGCUGCCAAUGGGGAGCAGGGAGGUCAGUCCAGGGGAUGGCUGGGGACCUAUCAGCAGCACCACAUCAUUGCUGGGAGGGCGAAGGGCACGUGGAACACUUCAUCUGCCAAGAAAUGAGAUACAUAUUUAUUUGGGAAUCUGAUACACAAAGAGCUUUAAUAACUACACUCAUCCAAAGGCAGCAUCAAUAGAAAUGGCACAGCCUGCUGAAUGCCAGUGAGCGAGGAAUGCUGUUAUUAACAUUUAGCAGAAGCUCCAGGUCACCUUGAUAACAUCAAGCUAACACACAUUUUAAUGGCUAUUUAAUUAGAUUUACCAUAGGGAAGAUGCCAUGCAAGAAGGUUGCAUUCCAGACUCCUGCGCUCGAGAUGGGGACUGGAUUAAAUAAAAAUGCAGAUAGAAGUCUGCAAGUGACAUAGAGGGUGAAUUCAUUUUCCCUGUUGGAUGCAGCUCCCGUUCUGGUCUGGAUGGCUGUGUUGUUUUACCUCUGCUCCAGGCAGCUGCUUGCACAGCUGUGGCACAGCACUGCCUUCGGACUGCAGCAAAGCUAUUCCUCAGUGGGUGAUUUGCUUUCAGGUGCCCGGAUUGCUCAGCAUCUUGCUGCAAAGCUCCCCCUGAAUCACCUGCAGGGUGCUGUGAGCAGGGCUGGAACAGGAGGGAGGGAAUCCAUCUGCUUUCCAGCAGCAAUUUGCUCACGUUAUGGCGAACUGGUUCCUGCAUUAAAGAACAAAUCGCUCAUGUCCACCUUCCAUCACCUCUGAUACCUUCGUAGAGACUCCAAGGAGCGUUUUGUAAAGCUGCCAGUUGUUCUUCAUAGAAAAUAAAACGUGGGAACAUACUGCUGUAAAGGGUAUGACACUUCUCUCCGUGGAUUUAUUAAAAAGGCUCCCAGUGUAAAGACGGAUACAAUUUGAUCAAGUCAGCAGUUCCAGCUGUGUAAUUGAUAUCCAUUAUUCUCUAUUGACUGCUGGGCAGGACUUCAUUUUCUGUAGCAUCAACAAAUUCCCCUUCUGCCCACCACAGAGCUGGGUUUGGGAGCAAGCAGAGCUGAUCAGCGAACAGAGCAGAAAUCCCAGGAGAGCAAAAAGGCAUUUUGCUCAAUUGUUUCUCAUAAGCGCCCGCCUUUAUCCAAAUCUGCACUAUUUCUUAAAUCACUGCAUUUCCAUAGGGCUCUCCUGCAGUUGUGCUGUGCUUUUGCUGGGGAACAGAGAGAGGGUGACAGUUUCUAUUCCUGCAUGAUACGAUUUCUUCUCUCCUGCCCCUUCCUCCUGCAAAUCAUUUGCUUUUCCAGGUGCUUUGGUAUAAACUUAUAUCACUUUAUUUCUGGUUUUUUUUUGCUUCCUAUCUCACUCUAAGAAGGAGAAAGAUCACCUCAUUCCCACCGCUUCAGAAAUAAAUCCUUAUUAUGGAUUUGUACCUGGGAUAGAAAAACGGAUUUCCACUCCCAGCCAGUUCUGAGCAGAUAUUUGAAGGUAAUUGCUCAGUCCAGGGACAUUUCAGUUGCCUAAUAGCCAUAAAAAGUGCUGUUAUUAGCUGUGCAUUUGAGGGUGGGGCUAUUUAGGAGAUAUUUAUUGAGAGGGUAUUACUGCAGGAAGCUUGAGGGCCUGAGAUUUAUGGUUGUAUUUCGAGGUGGAGCAAAGGGGAAGAACGAAACAUCCUCUGCGUGUCCUUGGAGCCCACGGCACCGAGGCUGUGGGGCACAUGGAGGCAUGCCCUGCGCCUUUGGUUUGUGUUGUGCCUUGCACUGCUCAGCUGCCAGCUCUGGAAGCAGCAAGCAGCCCUCGCCGAGCAUCCAGCUGCUGCUAAAACUUUGAUGAAAAUACUUUUCAUUAUGCAUGGUGAGUGACAUCUCAGUUACACGGCUCAUCUCGUGGGCGCAGUGCGGCUGUUCAGCGCUCGGCACUUUGGGGGAAGAGGUUCUCUCCUCACCGAGCCUCCUUCCCACCCACCGAACCCAGCAGAGAAAGAAGACAAGAGGUUUCCCUUUACACACGUCACGACAAACCCAAAGCCAAGGUGCUGGAGCUGCCUAAAAGCCUUCCUGUGUUGGCAGCUGUGGGCUGAGAGGUGCAGCACAUGCCUGCAUGGUAAUUAACAGCUUUGUCUCGCACAGAUUGAUUGCAGAGGCGCAAUCUUUGCGCGCGGAGCCUUGUUGAGCAUUUCCUGCUGCUGCCUGAUCCUGCUCCUCGGAUGGGCCUGGAGCAGAAGGGUAAUUAAAGAAUUGCUGCAGCUGCUGGUUUGCUGCUCACCGCAGGUUGGGCUGCAGGCAAAGCAAGCGGCCCAGGGCUGAACACACUGAGAAGGAGAUGAGAGAGGAAAAAACACAGCGGUGUUCCGAGAGCUGAGCUCUGGCUGCCCUCAGAGCAACCAAAUGCUGAAGCAAAUGCAAAGAAACACUCCGAAGUGAUGUUUUUGGCAGAGGUUGAGGUGGAUGUGUCCUCUUAAACACCCUCUAGAUUGCCUCUAGACCUGAAUAGUGAUGAUUUCCUGUUGCACAAAGUGUGGUUCCUUCGUUUUCUAAUAGCCCAUGUGUAAGAAAGCAAGCUAGGAAGCUGUAAAGCUGAGUGUCUGAAAGGUAAACAGAACCCCAGCCAUGCUUUUCAUCUAAAGAAGCAGUUUUAGAUGUAAAGAGAUGGAUUAAAUUACAUUUGAGUGACAGAUUUAAAUUGGGAUUCCUUUCACAGCUCCACAUCCCUGCUCUAAAUAGGAGACUUGGGAUUAGGGCCAUUAAAUUACACAGUUUAUUGGAAAAAUAAAAUCUCAGGAACAGAUGAUGAUGAAAAGAGAUAGAAAAGCAAACUGAAAGAGUGUUAAAAAUUAUUAAGCUAAGGUAGCAAAUGAAAUAGAAUGGCACUAAAACUAGAUGGCACAUAAGAAAUGCUCUGAAAGUGGUAGUGCUGAGGAGGGCUGAGGGCUGUUAAAGUGCAGAGCUGUGCAGUCAGAUGGAUGAGCUUGGCGUUGCCAAGAGCUUGCAAUGGUUUUUAGCUGAAGGUCAUGCCCUGAAGUAAGGUACAAUUAAAACAGGAGAGAAACAAACUGCUUUGGAGUAUUGCAAGUGUCCAAAGCUGCGUAGCUUCUAUAACCAUACAGCACAAAGAAACACCUUGCAAAGGGGUGGGGGAAAUGAAAUGUGGCCACAAACGGAGCUGAGCCUUGGGCUGUGCUUGCUGCAGGUGGAAGGCAGUGAUGUGCUCCUUUCAGCUCCCAAGGAAGUUGCUUCCAGCCAUAGGGAUGUGCGAAUCUGCUGUGAUCAGCCCUGGCUCUGCUCUCUGCUCAGCAGUGCCAGCGCUCCUGCACCAAACCAGGCAGGUGUGUUUCUGCCUGCUGGCUCUGAACAACUCCUUUUCACCUCUCUGAGCCUCUCCAUCUGCACUGCCUGCCUCAUUCUCUCCAGUAAUUACACACAAGGCCAUGGAAGGAGAUCAAAUUCCGCCGUCUCCUUUGAAUCCUGAAAACUGUCUCUCGAUGGCACCCUUGGGUCUCUUUGAAGGAAACAAAUUAAAACGCUGCAGCCCAGACGAUUGCAGGUAGAGCCGCGCACCGGAGGACCCAGCAGUUUCCAAACAGCCCUCUUUAUGGCCAGCAAGACAUUGCCAGGAGAUUGAUUUUGCACCAGGGCUGGGGAAAUUCCACUGCCCCAGCCAUGAUCCAUCACCACCCGCCCAGAGGAGAUGAGGAAUUCUUCAUCCCAUUCUCGAGCAGCCCUGUGAUUGCAGGAGGGGCUGCAGUGCAAACUGUUUUUUCCCUGCCCGUGAAGAAAGGUUCAGAAGGUUCAGACUCAAGUGAAGGGAGCAGUGCUCAGCCCUCCCUUCUCCUCCUGUCACCAUCCAUUGGGUCAGGCUGCUCCCAGCACAUCGCUCCCCAUGCUGUGGGUAGGGCUGUGAUGGUUGGCACCCAUCCUGAAGGGCUUUUACCCCUCUGUGCUUUGGGUAUAUGGCGCAUGGAAACAACUUCUCUUACAUAAGAUCACUGCUCCGUGUCCUGUUGCCAUUGGAAGCCUGAGGGAUAUUUUGCGUAGAUGCUCAAACACAUUGUAAAUUAAGAAAACAAAAUAGAAACCAACCCCAAACA